rnacentral:sRNA from 1 species
UAAGUAGUCUGGAGACUGAAGUCUUCUGUUAAUUCACAAAACAGAUAUGGUACAGGAAUUUGCAGUGCAUACCCACUGCAAAGCACUUUGCCAUUGUGGUCCAGCCAGGGCCUAGAGACGUGACUCUGGGUUUGAGAAGGUUGCUCUGUCUCCUCAGCUUUUUUGCUGAGCCUGCC